rnacentral:rRNA from 1 species
UACGGGGGGGGGCAAGCGUUGUUCGGAAUUACUGGGCGUAAAGGGCUCGUAGGCGGCCAACUAAGUCAGACGUGAAAUCCCUCGGCUUAACCGGGGGAACUGCGUCUGAUACUGGAUGGCUUGAGUUUGGGAGAGGGAUGCGGAAUUCCAGGUGUAGCGGUGAAAUGCGUAGAUAUCUGGAGGAACACCGGUGGCGAAGGCGGCAUCCUGGACCAACACUGACGCUGAGUGAGCGAAAAGCCAGGGGGAGCAAACGGGG